rnacentral:rRNA from 1 species
GACGAACGCUUUCGGCGUGCUUAACACAUGCAAGUCGAACGGAAAGGCCCUGCUUUUGUGGGGUGCUCGAGUGGCGAACGGGUGAGUAACACGUGAGUAACCUGCCCUUGACUUUGGGAUAACUUCAGGAAACUGGGGCUAAUACCGGAUAGGAGCUCCUGCUGCAUGGUGGGGGUUGGAAAGUUUCGGCGGUUGGGGAUGGACUCGCGGCUUAUCAGCUUGUUGGUGGGGUAGUGGCUUACCAAGGCUUUGACGGGUAGCCGGCCUGAGAGGGUGACCGGCCACAUUGGGACUGAGAUACGGCCCAGACUCCUACGGGAGGCAGCAGUGGGGAAUAUUGCACAAUGGGCGGAAGCCUGAUGCAGCAACGCCGCGUGCGGGAUGACGGCCUUCGGGUUGUAAACCGCUUUCGCCUGUGACGAAGCGUGAGUGACGGUAAUGGGUAAAGAAGCACCGGCUAACUACGUGCCAGCAGCCGCGGUGAUACGUAGGGUGCGAGCGUUGUCCGGAUUUAUUGGGCGUAAAGGGCUCGUAGGUGGUUGAUCGCGUCGGAAGUGUAAUCUUGGGGCUUAACCCUGAGCGUGCUUUCGAUACGGGUUGACUUGAGGAAGGUAGGGGAGAAUGGAAUUCCUGGUGGAGCGGUGGAAUGCGCAGAUAUCAGGAGGAACACCAGUGGCGAAGGCGGUUCUCUGGGCCUUUCCUGACGCUGAGGAGCGAAAGCGUGGGGAGCGAACAGGCUUAGAUACCCUGGUAGUCCACGCUGUAAACGGUGGGUACUAGGUGUGGGGUCCAUUCCACGGGUUCCGUGCCGUAGCUAACGCUUUAAGUACCCCGCCUGGGGAGUACGGCCGCAAGGCUAAAACUCAAAGGAAUUGACGGGGCCCCGCACAAGCGGCGGAGCAUGCGGAUUAAUUCGAUGCAACGCGUAGAACCUUACCUGGGUUUGACAUGGAUCGGGAGUGCUCAGAGAUGGGUGUGCCUCUUUUGGGGUCGGUUCACAGGUGGUGCAUGCCUGUCGUCAGCUCGUGUCGUGAGAUGUUGGGUUAAGUCCCGCAACGAGCGCAACCCUUGUUCACUGUUGCCAGCACGUUAUGGUGGGGACUCAGUGGAGACCGCCGGGGUCAACUCGGAGGAAGGUGGGGAUGACGUCAAGUCCUCAUGCCCCUUAUGUCCAGGGCUUCACGCAUGCUACAAUGGCUGGUACAGAGAGUGGCGAGCCUGUGAGGGUGAGCGAAUCUCGGAAAGCCGGUCUCAGUUCGGAUUGGGGUCUGCAACUCGACCUCAUGAAGUCGGAGUCGCUAGUAAUCAAAGAUCAGCAACGCUGCGGUGAAUACGUUCCCGGGGCC